UGCCCGGUGGUGUAAUCGGUAACACAGCUGGUUUUGGUCCAGCCAUUCCAGGUUCAAGUCCUGGCCGGGUAA
rnacentral:tRNA from 1 species